rnacentral:misc_RNA from 1 species
GUUUUGAUAGAAAAAAGAUCCAUCAAGAAACUACAAGAGAAAGUUCGUGAUACGGACCCAAAAAAGAAAAUCUUGGAGUUUUUCUUGUAUCUUUUGAGGAAAUAUGGAAGACAUAUUGGGCAAUGCCAAACCAAUGGUGGCUUUCGUCAGCAUGAGGAAUGCAAGACUCGAACUACUGACAAACCUGCUCCACCAGACCCGCCACUCGAAUUUAAGUGUCCAAUCU